UUGGAGGGCAAGUCUGGUGCCAGCAGCCGCGGUAAUUCCAGCUCCAAUAGCGUAUAUUAAAGUUGUUGCAGUUAAAAAGCUCGUAGUUGAAUUUCGGAAUCAAUAUGUUGGUCGUGCCAUUGGUACGUACUGGCAUUAUUGGUUUCUACCUUCUGAAGAACCUCGAUGUCAUUAAUUUGGUGUCUUGGGGAAUCAGGACUGUUACUUUGAAAAAAUUUGAGUGUUUAAAGCAGGCUCGCGCUUGAAUACAUUAGCAUGGAAUAAUGAAAUAGGACGUUUGAUUCUAUUUUGUUGGUUUCUAGGAUCGACGUAAUGAUUAAUAGGGAUAGUUGGGGGCAUUAGUAUUCAAUUGUCAGAGGUGAAAUUCUUGGAUUUAUUGAAGGCUAACUACUGCGAAAGCAUUUGCCAAGGAUGUUUUCAUUAAUCAAGAACGAAAGUUAGGGGAUCGAAGACGAUCAGAUACCGUCGUAGUCAUAACCAUAAACUAUGCCGACUAGGGAUCGGAUGAUGUUAAUUUUUUAAUGACUCAUUCGGCACCUUACGGGAAAC
rnacentral:rRNA from 1 species